ACGGAAGGCAGCAGUGAGGAAUAUUGGUCAAUGGUCGGAGGACUGAACCAGCCAAGUAGCGUGAAGGAUGACUGCCCUAUGGGUUGUAAACUUCUUUUAUGCGGGAAUAAAAAGGAUUACGUGUAGUCUGUUGCAUGUACCGCAUGAAUAAGGAUCGGCUAAUUCCGUGCCAGCAGCCGCGGUAAUACGGAAGAUCCGAGCGUUAUCCGGAUUUAUUGGGUUUAAAGGGAGCGUAGGCGGGCCUUUAAGUCAGUGGUCAAAGCGUGUGGCUCAACCAUACCACGCCGUUGAUACUGGAGGCCUUGAGUGCACAUAAGGAUGGUGGAAUUCAUGGUGUAGCGGUGAAAUGCUUAGAUAUCAUGAAGAACUCCGAUUGCGUAGGCAGCUUACCAAGCCGUAAAUGACGCUCAUGCACGAAAGUGCGGGGAUCGAACAGGAUUAGAUACCCUGGUA
rnacentral:rRNA from 1 species